CUCCAGCACAAUCCUAUCGUCGCAUAACACCCUCAGGAUUCCUCCACCAGCUACCGUCCUGUAGCCUCUCGAAUCCAGUCUGCUAAGUGAGAUAAGAUUUCACUUGAAAUCAGGUAUGUAUUGGACCUCCCCCAAUCUCCUCACUGCACCGUCAUGUAUCCUUCAGGUAACCAUCCUAAUGCCUCUGAUCGCACAGCUCGAUCCAUCCGACAGAUAUACAGUGCCCUCACUAUUCUUCAGGGAGUCAAACUGCUCCUCUCUGCAACAUACAUGAUAGGGGCAUGCAGAAUCUAAUAUCCACUGCUGGAAAGAAGUAGAUACCUCGUCAGAUAUCUCCAGGACAUCUCCAUCU
rnacentral:lncRNA from 1 species